rnacentral:rRNA from 1 species
AAUGGGCGGAAGCCUGAACCAGCCAUGCCGCGUGCAGGACGACGGCCCUACGGGUUGUAAACUGCUUUUCCGGGGGAAGAAUAAGGGCGACGUGUCGCCCGAUGCCGGUACCCCGGGAAUAAGGAUCGGCUAACUCCGUGCCAGCAGCCGCGGUAAUACGGAGGAUCCGAGCGUUAUCCGGAUUUACUGGGUUUAAAGGGUGCGUAGGCGGACGCCUAAGUCAGCGGUGAAAUACGGGGGCUCAACCUUCGAACUGCCGUUGAUACUGGGCGUCUUGGAUUCGGUCGAGGCGGGCGGAAUGCGUGGUGUAGCGGUGAAAUGCUUAGAUAUCACGCAGAACGCCGAUUGCGAAGGCAGCUCGCCGGGCCGAUAUCGACGCUGAGGCACGAAAGCGUGGGGAUCGAA